UACGUGGGCCCCCAAGCGUUAUCCGGAAUUACUGGGCGUAAAGAGUGCGUAGGCGGUUAUGUUAGUCCUCUGUUUAAUCCUUCGGCUCAACCGGAGAACUGCAGAGGAAACGGCAUGACUGGAGUGUGUGAGAGGUUUGCGGAACUCAUGGUGUAGGGGUGAAAUCCGUUGAUAUCAUGGGGAACACCAAAUGCGAAGGCAGCAAACUGGCACAUUACUGACGCUGAGGCACGAAAGCGUGGGUAGCGAAUGGGAUUAGAAACCCGUAGUAGU
rnacentral:rRNA from 1 species